rnacentral:lncRNA from 1 species
CCAACAUCGUUUUAGAGAAUUUGGCAAUACGUACAACCGGCCUCACAACCGCAAACCAUGUGUAACCACUCCAGCCCAUAGCUGGCUUCUUCACCUGCGGAAUCGUCUGAGACCAGCCACCCGGACAGCUGAUGAAACUGUGGGUUUGCACAUCCAAAGAAUUUCUGCACAAACUGUCAGGGAAGCUCAUCUGCGUGCUCGUCGUCCUCACCAGGGUCUUGACCUGACUGCAGUUUGGCGUCGUGACCAACUUCAGUGGGAAAAUGUUCACCUUCCAUGGCCACUGGCAUGCUGGAGAAGUGUGCGCUUCACGGAUGAAUCCCAGUUUCAACUGUACCGGGCAGAUGGCAGACAGUGUAUGGCAUUGUGUGGGCGAGCGGUAUGCUGAUAACAACAUUGUGAACAGAAUGCACCAUGGUGGCGGUGGGGUUAUGGUGUGGGCAGGCAUAAGCUAUGGACUAUAUUUUGCAUUUUAUCGAUGGAAAUUUGAAUGCACAGAGAUAGUGACGAGAUUCAUCCACCGUCAUCACCUUAUGUUUAAGCAUUAUAAUGAACGUCCUCAUGUCACAAGGACCUGUACACAAUUCCUGGAAGCUGAAAAUGUCCCAGACCUGUACACAAUUCCUGGAAGCUGAAAAUCCCCAGACAUGACACCCAUUGAGUUUGGGAAGCUCUGGAUUGACGUGUAUGACAGCAUGUUCCAGUUUACGCCAAUAUCCAGCAAAUUCGCAGAGCCAUUGAAGAGAAGUGGGACAACAUUCCACAGGCCACAAUCAACAACCUGAUCAACACUAUGCGAAGGUAUCUGUGACCAACAGAUGUAUAUCUGUAUUCCCAGUCAUGUGAAAUCCAUAGACUAGGGCCUAAUGAAUUUAUUUUAAUUGACUGAUUUCCUUAUUUAACCUGUUAUGGAUAGGGGGCAGUAUUUUCACGGCCGGAUAAAAAACGUACCCGAUUUAAUCUGUUUAUUACUCCUGCCCAGAAACUAGAAUAUGCAUAUAAUUGUUUGGUUUGGAUAGAAAACACCCUAAAGUUUCUAAAACUGUUUGAAUGGUGUCUGUGAGUAUACCAGAACUCAUAUGGCAGGCCAAAACCUGAGAAGAUUCCAAACAGGAAGUGCCCUCUGACCAUUUCUUGGUCUUCUAUACCCUCUUUAUUGAAAACAGAGGAUCUCUGCUGUAACGUGACACUUUCUAAGGCUCCCAUAGGCUCUCAGAAGGCGCCAGAACGUUGAAUGAUGACUUUGCAGUCCAUAGCUGAAAAACAGUAGCGCAUUUGGAUAGUGGUCGAUCUGAGAACAAUGAGACGGGUGCGCGCGUGCAUGUGAAGAGUCCAUUUUGCAUUUUCAGUCUUUGAACGAAAACAACGACUCCCGGUCGGAAUAUUAUCGCUAUUUUACGAGAAAAAUUGCAUAAAAAUUGAUUUUAAACAGCGUUUGGCAUGCUUCGAAGUACGGUAAUGGAAUAUUUUUAAAUUUUUUGUCACGAUACGCGCCGGCGCGUCACCCUUCGUUACCCUUUGGAUAGUGUCUUGAACGCAAGAACAAAACGCCGCUAUUUGGAUAUAACUAUGGAUUAUUUGGAACCAAACCAACAUUUGUUGUUGAAGUAGAAGUCCUGGGAGUGCAUUCUGACGAAGAACAGCAAAGGUAAUCCAAUUUUUCUUAUAGUAAAUCUGAGUUUGGUGAGUACCAAACUUGGUGGGUGUCAAAAUAGCUAGCCUGUGAUGGCCGGGCUAUCUACUCAGAAUAUUGCAAAAUGUGCUUUCACCGAAAAGCUAUUUUAAAAUCGGACACCGCGAUUGCAUAAAGGAGUUCUGUAUCUAUAAUUCUUAAAAUAAUUGUUAUGUAUUUUGUGAACGUUUAUCGUGAGUAAUUUAGUAAAUUCACCGGAAGUGUUCGGUGGGAAUGCUAGUUCUGAACGUCACAUGCUAAUGUAAAAGGCUGGUUUUUGAUAUAAAUAUGAACUUGAUUGAACAAAACAUGCAUGUAUUGUAUAACAUAAUGUCCUAGGAGUGUCAUCUGAUGAAGAUCAUCAAAGGUUAGUGCUGCAUUUAGCUGUGGUUUUGGUUUUUGUGACAUUAUAUGGUAGCUUGAAAAAUGGGUGUCUGAUUAUUUCUGGCUGGGUACUCUCCUGACAUAAUCUAAUGUUUUGCUUUCGUUGUAAAGCAUUUUUGAAAUUGGACAGUGUGGUUAGAUAAAGGAGAGUAUUGUCUUUAAAAUGGUGUAAAAUAGUCAUAUGUUUGAAAAAUGGCAGUUUUCGGAUUUUCGAGGAGUUUGUAUUUCGCGCCACGCCCUAUCAUUGGAUAUUGGAGCGGUGUUCCGCUAGCGGAACGUCUAGAUGUAAGAGGUUAAACUGUAACUCAUUAAAAUCUUAGAAAUUGUUGCAUGAUGCGUUUAUAUUUUUGUUCAAUGUAAAUGGUGGGAGACAGAUUUACGUUUACUAUUUUACGUCUACCCCUGAGUCAAGGUUGACAGGUCAGUAAUGCCUGGGGUCACAUUACAUGGCUAAGUCAAUAAACUGGAUGCACACAGUACAGGGAGACAGUGAGAGAGUGGUCUCUGUAGCUGACCGAAAGUCAUUGGGAACUUUGUUUCACCUUUGCAGUCUUGAUUUCAAUUUCAAGUUCGAACAAUCAUAUACUUGUCAAAUACUUAACCUGGAAGGCAUGCAAAAACAUUGCAGAGAGGAUCAAAUAUAGGCCAUAUGAUGAGCUUCAGAUCCAUGUGACUGGUUGAAGUCUUAGGAUUGACAUACUGUUUGGUGCUGGCUACGCCAGUCAAAUCCUUCUCCAAAGGGAGAAGGGGACUAUUUUCAACUGGUUCCUUUUGAAGUUUCCUAAAACUAAUGACCAGACUGGGGAGUUGAAGCUGCCCAGUUUGAGGCUGCUAUGUCAUUUAAUGCAGCCCUACAUGGUGGGCUAGUACGAUGGCCGUGAAGAGCAAAGUAGCUUUUAAGAUUUUUAAUAGAGCAGCUCUACAGGGUGUAACAAGAUUACUCAUAAUGCUUUAGCCAGAAUGCAUCGGAGGACCAUUUCCUAAGUGCACAUUUUCAUGAGUAGUCUUGUGUCGCAGGAAAUGAGCUGAUGAUUGGCUGGUAUUUAUGCUAUGACGUCAUGGUAUGUGAUAAUGGAUCAUUGAAGAGUCAGAAUGUACUCAUUGACUGCGUUUACACAGGCAGCCCAAUUCUGAUCUUUUUACACUUACUGGUCUUUUGCCUGAUCAGAUCAGCUCUUUUGACAAUAAUUGGGCAAAAGAUAAGAAUUGGGCUGCCUGUGUAAAUACAGCAUAGUGUCAAUAGUGGAACUUUUCUACACUUUGUUGAGGAUAAAGCGCAUGAUGAUAUAUCAAGAUGUCACAGGUGUGAUGAAUGCCCUAAUUUAUUAUUAUGUAUGUGCUCCUAAUUUAGUGUUUGUUAAUUGAUUGAUUAAUUGAGACCUGUGAUUACCUCCCUGUUUUUCUUUCUUUCGUUUGAGGUGUGGCCACCCAGGGAAAGGUGCAGGUGAGAGGGAAGCGGUGGCAGACUGAAAAAAAACAAAUCUCUGGAGAGACCUGAAAAUAGCUGUGCAGCAACGCUCCCCAUCCAACCUGACAGAGCUUGAGAGGAUCUGCAGAGAAGAAUGGGAGAAACUCCCCAACACAGCACAGUGUUGAAGAAGGUGAGACAGCACCUCUUCCCCCUCAAGAGGUUGAAAAGAUAUGGCAUGGCCCUUCAGAUCCUCAAACAGUUC